GCCCAGUUAGCUCAAUCGGUAGAGUGUGAGACUCUUAACCUCAAGGUUAGGGGUAAGUUUAGCACACGAAUGUGUUAAUCAAAAUGCUAAUAGUCUGAUGAAAGUUCAACCCUCGUAUUGGGCU